CUAGGUUCUUCACAAUGGAUUCCUUGAGGACCUGCUUCAUGAGCUUCUAAGCUUCCUGAACAGAAAGUCAGCUUGCCCAAGAACCCGAAGUGUACCUGUCAGGUGAUGUUACAUACUGUAGCAGAUAAAGUAAAGACAGAAUUACUCUAAUAUCCAGAGAUUCAUUGGAAUAGCUCCUACAUCUUUGCAAAAAAGCUGAUGACAUCCUGAAGGCACACAGAUCUUAUGCCAUGCCGCUGCUGGUACAUUGAGAAAAAAAUGCAGGAAGCCAGUGAACAGGGACUGCCAACAGGGGAAGCAGUUUGCAGGCAGUUCCUGGAAGCAAGAGAAGGGAGGAAGAAGGAGGAGAGAAGCCAGGUCAGGCACCAGGUCCUGCCCAGGAAAGGAUCAGACACCUAGUGCAGAGACAACAUGGAAGGGACCUGAUGCAGCUGAAUGGAAGAGGGUCACCUCCAAGGGCAGUCAUCAUACUGCUGAGAUGACUUCCCCAGAGCAACUGGGGAACAGAUAUGAGGCCCUGGCAACAUUGGAGGAGAAUGCAAUAGAGGAAGAUGCAUCCACAGUCAACACCAUGCAGGCUGAGGGACAACCGGGCAGCUGAAGGAAGAGAUGCAGAGUCAUCAUGGUGGGCAACUCCUUCCUGACAGGAAUGGAAGGACCCAUCUAUCUCCCAGAUCCCACAGCACAGAAGCAAACUGAGAUGUGCUCCUGGAUAAUUUUCUCAAAGAGCUUCACCAGGACCAAGCUAGUAUGGGCAGUGGCAGCCAUGGACCUGUUUCCAAAGCAAGUACUUGUAAGUUUUGGGCAGUACAAGUGCUGCCCCACUGUUGCGGCCCUGUUUCUGUGCCUUCUGGCAUUUUGUGCACUGCAUGGUGGGGCUGGGGGUAUGUACUUUUCUCCUCUUGGGCAGAAGGCAACCAUUGCUUUUUAAUUUGUUUAUCCGCUACCAUGACCCAUGGCUGCCCGGAAUGGUGUCCCACUCGUACUACAGCAGAUCACUGCAGAGAUUUUCACAGCAAGCAGAGGUGGUCCCAUGAAACCUUGCUCAAGGUUUUGGCGGACUCCUUGGUAGCCAGAGUGGAAUGUGCAGAUGCCUGGCAGGAUGAAGUCCAUGAGUAGCUGCGUAAGGAUGAUGCCAUCCUUGAGUAAGUGCAAGACACUAUGUGGAAUUUGAAAGACGUUGUUGACAAGUCCCAUGGUGAAUUACCAU